rnacentral:rRNA from 1 species
CACGUAGGGUGCGAGCGUUGUCCGGAAUUAUUGGGCGUAAAGAGCUGCGUAGGCGGUGUGUCGCGUCGGCCGUGAAAACCCUGCAGCUUAACUGUGGGCUUGCGGUCGAUACGGGCAUCACUGGAGUGCGGUAGGGGAGAAUGGAAUUCCUGGUGUAGCGGUGGAAUGCGCAGAGUAUCAGGAGGAACACCGAUGGCGAAGGCAGUUCUGCUGGGCCGUAACUGACGCUGAGGAGCGAAAGCGUGGGGAGCGAACAGG